GGAGUGGUAUCGAAGUGGUUAUAACGGCCCUGACUCGAAAUCAGGUAGUCUCUAACGAGGCUCGUGGGUUCGAAUCCCACCCACUCCG
rnacentral:tRNA from 3 species